GGAGUCUAGCAUGUGCGCGAGUCAUUGGGACGCACAAUAUAAACCUAAAGGCGAAAUGAAAGUAAAGGCGCGCCUCGCGCGCGCCUAGGGAGGAUGGGCAAACCGGCACUGCCGGAGCCCCGCACUCCCGGGGCGUCUCGUUCUCAUCGCGAGAAGAGGCGCCCCCAGAGCGUACACGCUGGGACCCGAAAGAUGGUGAACUAUGCCUGGUCAGGACGAAGUCAGGGGAAACCCUGAUGGAGGUCCGUAGCGAUUCUGACGUGCAAAUCGAUCGUCGGAACUGGGUAUAGGGGCGAAAGACUAAUCGAACCAUCUAGUAGCUGGUUCCCUCCGAAGUUUCCCUCAGGAUAGCUGGCGCUCGCUAAUUUGCGAGUCUCAUCCGGUAAAGCGAAUGAUUAGAGGCAUUGGGGUCGAAACGGCCUCAACCUAUUCUCAAACUUUAAAUGGGUGAGAUCUCCGGCUUGCUUGAAAAGUGAAGCCGCGAGAUCGGAUCAGAGUGCCAAGUGGGCCACUUUUGGUAAGCAGAACUGGCGCUGUGGGAUGAACCAAACGCGGAGUUAAAGCGCCUAAAUCGACGCUUAUGGGAUACCAUGAAAGGCGUUGGUAACUUAAGACAGCAGGACGGUGGCCAUGGAA
rnacentral:rRNA from 1 species